ACACAGAUUUUCUUUAAAAACCCUUAUGGGAAAGACCAUCACUCUGGAGUUUGAACCCUUGGAUACAAUAGAAAAUGCGAAGUCCAAGAUCUAGGAUAAGACAGGAAUUUCUACUGAUCAGCAAAGACUGAUCUUUGUUGGCAAGAAACUGGAAGAUGGAUGUGCUUUGUCUGGGUACAACAUUCAAAAGGAGUCUACUCUUCAUCUUGUGUUGAGACUUCAUGGUGGUGCUAAGAAAAGGAAGAAGUCUUACACCACUCCAAAGAAGAAUAAGCAUAAGAAAAGGAAGGUUAAGCUGGCUGUCCUGAAAUACUAUAAGGUGGAUGAAAAUGGCAAAAUUAGUCAACUUCAUCAAGAAUGCCCUUCAGAUUAAUGUAUUGCUGGAGAUUUUGUGGCCAGCCAUUUUAACAGUCAUUGUUGUAGCAAAUGUCUGCAUUAUUGUUUCAACAAACCAGAAGACAAGUAA
rnacentral:lncRNA from 1 species